rnacentral:sRNA from 1 species
CUCGCUGCUAAGCUAUCCCUCACUACUAAGCUAUCUAUCGCUGCUAAUCUAUCGCUGCUAAUCUAUCGCUGCCAACCUAUCUAUCGCUGCCAAUUUAUCUACCACUGCCAAUCUAUCUAUUGCUGCUAAUCUAUUGCUGCUAAUCUAUCGCUGCUAAUCUAUCGCUGCUAAUCUAUCGCUGCUAAUCUAUCGCUGCCAAUCUAUCUACCGCGGCGAAUCUAUCUAUUGCUGCCAAUCAACCUACCUACCACUGCCAACCUAUCUAUCGCUGCCAAUCUAUCGCUGCCAAUCUAUCGCUGCCAACCUAUCUACUGCAGUGAAUCUAUCUAUCACUAUCAUUACUAGUUCAAAAUAGAACUAGAGUAUAAAUACACUAAACUUCUUUUGAUAGAUAAUGAUUUUUGAUAACACUCAUAGCAUUAUAUCAUCUAUAUAGGGUAAAUCAUGGUCCCAUUUGGUUCCAUUUUACAAAAUGGAAUCAAAUGAGAUCAGAAUCAGUAAUUUAUAAGAAGAACAUAAUCUGAGACUAGAUUUAUAAUAUAAACAAUGUAAAAUGACUAAUUUAAUAAACACUAUAUG